rnacentral:rRNA from 1 species
GAUGAACGCUAGCUACAGGCUUAACACAUGCAAGUCGAGGGGCAGCACAGUGUAGCAAUACACGGGUGGCGACCGGCGCACGGGUGCGUAACGCGUAUCCAACCUUCCCGUUACUCUUGGAUAGCCUUCCGAAAGGGAGAUUAAUACAAGAUGGUAUUCAAAUUCCGCAUGUUAUUUGAAUUAAAGAUUUAUCGGUAACGGAUGGGGAUGCGUGACAUUAGAUAGUAGGCGGGGUAACGGCCCACCUAGUCUACGAUGUCUAGGGGUUCUGAGAGGAAGGUCCCCCCCACGGGAACUGAGACACGGUCCAGACUCCUACGGGAGGCAGCAGUGAGGAAUAUUGGUCAAUGGUCGGAAGACUGAACCAGCCAAGUAGCGUGAAGGAUGAAGGUUCUAUGGAUUGUAAACUUCUUUUAUACGGGAAUAAAAUCUCCCACGUGUGGGAGCUUGUAUGUACCGUAUGAAUAAGCAUCGGCUAACUCCGUGCCAGCCGCCGCAGUAACAC